rnacentral:sRNA from 2 species
UUUGUAUAAUUAAGGCGUACAGGCGGAGGAAUCCUGCGAGAAUCAGGAGCUGCCCCGCAACGGUGAUGCCCCGCCCUGGGGAUAAGCCCGGUCUACCGCCUGCACGUCGCACCCGGCGCCGGACGGCCUCCUU